rnacentral:misc_RNA from 1 species
GAUGAAGAACGUAGCGAAAUGCGAUACUUGGUGUGAAUUGCAGAAUCCCGUGAACCAUCGAGUCUUUGAACGCAAGUUGCGCCCGAAGCCUCGGCUAAGGGCACGUCUGCCUGGGCGUCACGCAUCGCGUCUCCCCCAAUCCGCCAAGGCGGAGGGGAAGGAAGAUGGCUUCCCGUGCCUCACCCGGCACGGUUGGCCUAAAUUUGGAGCCCGCGGCACUUAGCUCUCGCGGCGAUAGGUGGUGAACAAGGCCCUGGCCGUGCAAACAACCCGUUGCGAAGCUCUAUGUCACGUACGCUCGUCGGACCCUUUGAAGUUGCCUUUGGUGACUUAAAACCUUUGCGACCCCGGGUCAGGCGGGGCUACCCGCUGAAUUUAAGCAUAUCAAUAAGCGGGAGGA